AUACUUACCUGGAAGGGCAGAUACCGUGAUCAAGAAGGUGGUUUUCCCAGGGUGAGGCUCACUCAUCACACUCCAGGUGUGCCGACCUCCGUGGUUUCCCCAAAUGUGGGAAACUCAGCUGCAUAAUUUGUGGUACUGGGGGACUGCGUUUGCCCUCUCCCCAG